rnacentral:miRNA from 1 species
GCUCUGUGCACUGCUGCAGCAUCAUCAAAAUUCACACUAUUCAUGCUCCUGGUGCAAAAGACCUUGUUAUCAUUGUUUGUGUGUGCCUCCCUGUCAUUAAUGUUUCUUCACAAGCUUC